GACGAACGCUGGCGGCGUGCUUAACACAUACAAGUCGAACGGAAGGGCCCUGCUUUUGUGGGGUGCUCGAGUGGCGAACGGGUGAGUAACACGUGAGUAACCUGCCCUUGACUUUGGGAUAACUUCAGGAAACUGGGGCUAAUACCGGAUAGGAGCUCCUGCUGCAUGGUGGGGGUUGGAAAGUUUCGGCGGUUGGGGAUGGACUCGCGGCUUAUCAGCUUGUUGGUGGGGUAGUGGCUUACCAAGGCUUUGACGGGUAGCCGGCCUGAGAGGGUGACCGGCCACAUUGGGACUGAGAUACGGCCCAGACUCCUACGGGAGGCAGCAGUGGGGAAUAUUGCACAAUGGGCGGAAGCCUGAUGCAGCAACGCCGCGUGCGGGAUGACGGCCUUCGGGUUGUAAACCGCUUUCGCCUGUGACGAAGCGUGAGUGACGGUAAUGGGUAAAGAAGCACCGGCUAACUACGUG
rnacentral:rRNA from 1 species